GGGGGCGUACCGGAAUCGACAGGGAAGUAAGUUUUGUAGUAAGCACGCCGGAGCAUGAUUGGUUACUCCGUAAAAAAUAACGAUUACAAUUCUAGUUGGCACUCCCAGCUACGCUAUGGCAGCCUAAUCUCUGAUUAGAACCAUAGUACUAUAGGCCGCAUGGUUGAGGUUCCAUACACAUCAUGCCGCCUUCACCCCCUUUGGGACUAGUCUCCGACCCUGAUCCGAGUCGAUAGGCGAAAUUCAGGAAAUAAGGUCCGGACAUGAGAGGGCGACCAAUCUCUCCCCGGACUCGAAAAUUUUGACUGGCCGAUAAGCGUGUAGAAAGCUGCUUUACGCUUUCGCUGGACGCGAGUUCGACUCUCGCCGCCUCCACAU
rnacentral:tmRNA from 1 species